UACGGCUCAGUAACACGUAGCUAAUCUGCCCUCGUGCUGAUGAUACCCUCGGGAAACUGAGGCUAAUAAUCAAUAGGAGAUUUUGGCUGGAAUGCAUUAUCUCUGAAAGCUUGCGCGAGGAUGAGGCUGCGGCGGAUUAGGUUGUUGGCGGGGUAAUGGCCCACCAAGCCGAUGAUCUGUAAGGGUUUUUAGCGGAAGGGCCCUGAGAGGGAAUCUGAGACACUAUUCCCAGCCCUACGGGGUGCAGCAGUCGAGAAACUUUUGCAAUGCACGAAAGUGUGACAAAGCAAGCCAGAGUGAUUCUCUAUAAUUGAGAAUCUUUUGUGAGAUGUAAAAAGUCUCACGAAUAAGGACUGGGCAAGACUAGUGCCAGCCGCCGCGGUAAUACUAGCGGUCCAAGUCGCAAUCACGUUUAUUGGGUCUAAAACAUCCGUAGCUUGCUAUGCAAGUCUCUUGUGAAAUCCUACAUCUUAAGUGUAGAAGUGCGAGAGAUACUACAUGGCUAGAGACCGGGAGAGGCAAGGAGUACGGAUAGGGUAGCGGUAAAAUGCGUUGAUCCUAUCUGGACUAACGAUAGCGAAGGCACCUUGCUAGAACGGAUCUGACAGUCAGGGAUGAAGGCUAGGGGCGCAAAACGGAUUAGAUACCCGUGUAGUCCUAGCAGUAAACACUGUGCACUAAACAUUGGUGCCUCCUCGAGAGGUGUCAGUGCUGUAGCGAAGGCGUAGAGUGCACUACCUGGGAAGUAUAGUCGCAAGACCGAAACUUAAAGGAAUUGGCGGA
rnacentral:rRNA from 1 species